rnacentral:rRNA from 1 species
ACGAAGGGGGCUAGCGUUGUUCGGAAUCACUGGGCGUAAAGCGCACGUAGGCGGACUGGUCAGUUGGGGGUGAAAUCCCAGGGCUCAACCCUGGAACUGCCUUCAAUACUGCUAGUCUUGAGUCCGAGAGAGGUGAGUGGAAUUCCUAGUGUAGAGGUGAAAUUCGUAGAUAUUAGGAAGAACACCAGUGGCGAAGGCGGCUCACUGGCUCGGUACUGACGCUGAGGUGCGAAAGCGUGGGGAGCAAACAGG